AUGCUCGGUUUUCUGGCAAUACUUUUCUGUGUGGAUAUGUUGUAUGUAGCCUACUCUCUGUUUUCUUUUUUCCUUUACAUCCGAUCGGAGAAAGUGUUGAGGUCUGUGCUUGUUUUCUUUAUCGUGUCGUGCUGUAACAUAGUGGCCUUCAGUUUUGUUUGGUAUUCAGGCCCGGCAUGGUUAUCCUCCUGGUCUCCUGGAGAUUAUCUUAUUGAAAAUAUUAAGAAUUACAGCGCCUUCUUUUUUGCCCCUAGCAGUCAAUCAGUGAAUAAUAUCGGGUGUGGUGCCUUCUACUUUUCUCCCUGUGGGCUAAUUACAGCAGCCUUUCAGUAUCUUGGAUACCCUUGGUCAGAUAUUAUCCUCCUAUUACUAGGUCUUGUGUUUGUCCUCUUCCCCAAGGUAAAGCAAUUUAUUAAGAAUAUUAUCCAAGGACCUGUCCCCAGACAAAGUUGUGGGUGGCAAGGUGUGUGGGGGGAUUUGGGCAGGUACCUAUCACGGUUUUCUCCUCCAAUGGUUCUAAAUUUCACCCCUGAACAAGUACAAAAUCCAAGAAAACUGGUACAAUGUUUGAAAGACGUAUGCCCUGACCCUGGCAAUACUAGAGAACUCCACCAGAUUGCUGCACUCUGCUGGGGUCUGGCUUAUGCCUAUCAAAUGUUAAUUAACAUUGCCCAGCACCCUCAAGGGAAUAGGGAGGCUCUUGAAUUUGAUGAUGAGACAGCACAAACUGUGACCACCCCAGAGGACCGACCAUCUAUGGUAUCAGUCGCCCCUGUAGUAAAGACGAAACAGUGGAAACGGAGAUCAGGUCGUUUAGUACGGGAAGAAGCUCCUCCUACAGAUGAGGGAGAAGAAGAAAAGGCAAGCAGCUCUAAAGCAGCGUUAUCAUGGCAACAUCACAAAGGAGAGACUGAAAUCAUAGAUGAAUCAGAAACUACUCGGUCUCUAUCCUUGAGUGAGCUGCGAGAACUACGAAAAGACUUCAGUCGCCAUCCAGGUGAGCACAUCCUCACCUGGCUGCUUCGAUGCUGGGAUAGUGGGGCCAAUACCCAACAGCUAGAAGGCAAUGAAGCCAAGCAGCUGGGAUCCCUUUCCAGAGAACGGCUCAUUGAUAGAGUAAUUGGAAGAGGGGCACAAGUUAUCAGCCUCUGGAGGCGAAUCCUAACAGCUGUGAAAGAAAGGUAUCCCCAUAAAGAGGAUAUUGUCUACCAAGUAAACAAAUGGACCACUAUGGAUCAGGGCCUCCAGCAGCUGCGGGAAUUAGCUGUGCUGGAGAUGAUUUAUAGUGAUUUAAAUAAUGCCCAGACACCUACAGACCCCGAUGAAGUUCAAUGCACAACAUCCAUGUGGCGGAAGUUUGUACGGGCGGCACCCCUAACACAUGCCAGCACACUGGCAGUAAUGGGUUGGGAUGAGGGGAUGGGGCCGACUAUGGACGCCGUGUCCAAUCAACUUCAUAAAUAUGAAGAAAAUCUCUCUGCCCCAGUACGGGGCUGCAUUUCAGCUGUGGAGAAACUGUCCCAACGGCUAGAUGAACACAUAGCUUCGUCCUCACCUAAACAAAAAAAUCUUUCGGCCAUCAAGCGCCAGCAGUCCCCGGCUCAAACAAGGGAGAAUCCAGGACGCACACCGCGAGGUACCUUGUGGUUUUAUUUACGUGACCAUGGGGAAGAUAUGAGGAAGUGGGAUGGUGAACCGACCUCGGCCCUAGCUGCUCGGGUACGUGAGCUACGGAAAGAUACAGCAGCAACAAAGAGGGCCCCUAAGAGGAUUGCUGCUCCAGUUUCUGUUGAACAGUCCCCCAGAGGCAGUAGAAGGAAUAGUAUUACUCCUGACCCUGACGAAGAGACUUCUGCUUCACAUUUGGAAGAAUUAAUUGAUAGAUACUCCGACCAAGACUAG
rnacentral:lncRNA from 1 species